UGAGGAAUAUUGGACAAUGGAUGGAAAUCUGAUCCAGCCAUGCCGCGUGCAGGAAGACUGCCCUAUGGGUUGUAAACUGCUUUUGUAUGGGAGCAAUAAGCCCUUCGUGAAGGGUGAUGAGAGUACCAUACGAAUAAGCAUCGGCUAACUCCGUGCCAGCAGCCGCGGUAAUACGGAGGAUGCAAGCGUUAUCCGGAUUUAUUGGGUUUAAAGGGUGCGUAGGCGGUUGGAUAAGUCAGCGGUGAAAGUUUUCUGCUUAACAGGAAAAAUGCCGUUGAUACUGUCUGGCUAGAAUAUGGUUGCUGUGAGUGGAAUGUGUGGUGUAGCGGUGAAAUGCUUAGAUAUCACACAGAAUAUCGAUUGCGAAGGCAGCUCACAAAGCCAUUAUUGACGCUGAGGC
rnacentral:rRNA from 1 species